rnacentral:rRNA from 1 species
UACGUAGGUCCCGAGCGUUGUCCGGAUUUAUUGGGCGUAAAGCGAGCGCAGGUGGUUUAUUAAGUCUGGUGUAAAAGGCAGUGGCUCAACCAUUGUAUGCAUUGGAAACUGGUAGACUUGAGUGCAGGAGAAGAGAGUGGAAUUCCAUGUGUAGCGGUGAAAUGCGUAGAUAUAUGGAGGAACACCGGUGGCGAAAGCGGCUCUCUGGCCUGUAACUGACACUGAGGCUCGAAAACGUGGGGAGCAAACAGG